ensembl:lncRNA LINC02808 long intergenic non-protein coding RNA 2808
ACUAGCCAUGUGAACUUGGGCAAGUGACCUAAUCCUCUGCAUUUCAUCUCUAAAUUGGGGAGAAUAGAAGCAUCUACUUCAUGUAGUAGCCAGGAUUAGAAGAGGGAGGAAUAACUGGGCCCUGGAUAGAAUGUGAUGAAUGUAUAUUCUUAAUGAGAAGUGGAAAUAAUUUGUGGUUGAGAGCUGUGCCUCAGAUCAGAGUGACAGGAUACAUGGCUAGGCUAUAUUUUCCAGCAGAUUAAGAGCUGCGGCCCAAGACUCUGAAAUAUGAAGAAAAAAGGAGAAGAUGACAGCAUAUCUUUUUAAAGAAAUAUUUUCCAGCCAAAUGGUGUAGCAGAGGACUUCCAGGAAUUUGUUCUUGUUCUGUAUCAAAGGUGAAGAGUUCGUAGCCUUCAAGGAAACAAGAAACCAUGGGAUGGAGUGAAGGAAGGUGGCCUGGAACCAGCUGCUGAGCCUCUCUGAGCCCCAGUUUCCUCGUCUCUAAAAUGGGGCUGAUCUCCUCUCCCUCAGACUGUUGUUGCAGGAAUUAAAACAGGUUCUUGGAGCCCCACU